rnacentral:rRNA from 1 species
AUUGAACGCUGGCGGCAGGCCUAACACAUGCAAGUCGAGCGGAUGAAGGGAGCUUGCUCCUGGAUUCAGCGGCGGACGGGUGAGUAAUGCCUAGGAAUCUGCCUGGUAGUGGGGGAUAACGUCCGGAAACGGGCGCUAAUACCGCAUACGUCCUGAGGGAGAAAGUGGGGGAUCUUCGGACCUCACGCUAUCAGAUGAGCCUAGGUCGGAUUAGCUAGUUGGUGGGGUAAAGGCCUACCAAGGCGACGAUCCGUAACUGGUCUGAGAGGAUGAUCAGUCACACUGGAAGUGAGACACGGUCCAGACUCCUGCGGGAGGCAGCAGUGGGGAAUAUUGGACGAUGGGCGAAAGCCUGAUCCAGCCAUGCCGCGUGUGUGAAGAAGGUCUUCGGAUUGUAGAGCACUUUAAGUUGGGAGGAAGGGCAGUAAGUUAAUACCUUGCUGUUUUGACGUUACCAACAGAAUAAGCACCGGCUAACUUCGUG